rnacentral:rRNA from 1 species
GACAGAGGAUGCAAGCGUUAUCCGGAAUGAUUGGGCGUAAAGCGUCUGUAGGUGGCUUUUUAAGUCCGCCGUCAAAUCCCAGGGCUCAACCCUGGACAGGCGGUGGAAACUACCAAGCUGGAGUACGGUAGGGGCAGAGGGAAUUUCCGGUGGAGCGGUGAAAUGCGUAGAGAUCGGGAGGAACACCAGUGGCGAAGGCGACUACCUGGACCAGCACUGACACUGAGGCACGAAAGCGUGGGGAGCAAACAGG